rnacentral:lncRNA from 1 species
AUGGGUGCUUUUUGAAAUUCCACGUUGAGCUGAAGAUAGAUGUGAUUGCUGUGUUGGCAAUGUUGGGUUGUUUGGAGAGGUUACGGUCAGCCCGCGACGGUAAGGGGGCGAAUGGUUGGAUCCGUUGAUUAGUAUGGCCUGAUUUUUGACAUCCAGUGGUGGUGACUCGCGUCGCUAAUACGGUGCGAUUUAGGUUGCAGCAAUAGUUACCCGACCGCCGGCUAGAAGAAACAGGGGGAACAAGAUCAUGCCGUCAUGCCGUCUCCGGUGGCACAAUAUGCGCUCGACAGGGGAUUCUCCCCCGAACUUAUUCUCAUGCCAGAACGAGCAGGAGAGGUAAUGUAGAUCUAGUGCCUUUUUCUCUAUCUCUGUCGUUUUUCUUUUUUAUGGUCUCAGUGAUUUUGAAUUUAUUCGCUGCAUCGAGCAGAAGUAUUCUAGUUCGUUGAGCUAGAUUGGAGCUUGGACUUCUCAUGCCAAUUUGCUGGGUUGAUUUCCUUUGGUUAUCAUUCCAAUCAUUAUCAAUUCCUUUUAACAUUUAAUUCUCUGAUGGAAAGAGACAUUUCUUUACAAAUUGCUUUUAGAAAUUUAAUCUGAUGCAGGAGCUUUCCAUAUUUGAUCGUCC